rnacentral:rRNA from 1 species
CGGACGGGUGAGUAAUGAAUAGGAAUCUGCCUAGUAGUGGGGGGACAACCUGGUGAAAACCAGGCUAAUACCGCAUACGCCCUACGGGGGAAAGUGGAGGAUCUUCGGACUUCACGCUAUUAGAUGAGCCUAUUCCUGAUUAGCUUGUUGGUAGGGUAAUGGCCUACCAAGGCAACGAUCAGUAGCUGGUCUGAGAGGACGAUCAGCCACACUAGGAUUGAGACACGGCCCAG